rnacentral:lncRNA from 1 species
CCCAAUAAAUAUAUAUACUAUUUCACCAUGCAUCUUGAUAGAUCCACACUACACUCUGCCUUCUUUCACUACACUAUUCUUGCAUUUUCCCUCACGUGUGUUGACAUAUCUGUUGGUUUAAAUAGACCAGCAUCCUGUUAUGUGGUGGGCGGUCAUGUUGGACCGAGUCAUGUUCGAAGUGGUGAGGCUGGUUGGGCCGAGUCACAAGCGAGACCCGUGGGCGCUGUAUCUGUACGCUUUAAGUGAAUUGGUUGCGUAUUUCUAACAACUCGAGUUUUUGGGAUUAAUGGUUAGCGUCAACGAUUCGACAAAUAGUAUCAGAGCCAGAGAUCACGGAUUCGAUUCCCGCAUGUUGUAAAUGUGUACAGGUGGUAGAGGGGGAUUAUUGGCUUAAAUGGGUUAGCAUUCUGUCCUGUGAUGGGAGGCCAUGUUGAGCCUAGUCAUGUUGGAAGUGGUGUUGGAAGUGGCGUGAGACUGCUCAAGCUUUUAGGAUUAAUAGUUAGCGCUAACAAUCCGACAAUAUCGGGCAAUGUUUAUUUCCCAAAAGCUGUGCAUUUUUAUAAAUUUUAAAUUUA